rnacentral:rRNA from 1 species
GACGUAGGGCGCGAGCGUUGUCCGGAUUUAUUGGGCGUAAAGAGCGUGUAGGCGGCCAGGUAGGUCUGCUGUGAAAACUCGAGGCUCAACCUCGAGACGUCGGCGGAAACCAUCUGGCUAGAGUCCGGAAGAGGAGAGUGGAAUUCCUGGUGUAGCGGUGAAAUGCGCAGAUAUCAGGAAGAACACCGGUGGCGAAGGCGGGUCUCUGGGCCGAUACUGACGCUGGAGGAGCGAAAGCCGUGGGGAGCGAACAGG